rfam:Acidovorax sp. 12322-1 scaffold1_Contig_0, whole genome shotgun sequence.
UACAGGGUACGCAACUGGCGAUAGGUGCAGCAGUUUUUCCACUGCCUUGCACUGACGUGGAAUCGCUGCAGGGCCUGUCAGCCCUGCCAACCACCGGGGAGCGUACCGCCCAGUCUGUUCGGGCGUUUCAGCCGUUCGCCUGGGCAGCCCUU